AUGCUAAUGUUAUUUCAGUUUUUGUACAGAUGUAUAUUCAAAGUAGAGUAUAAAGCUUCAAAAGGAAUGGGUAAAAACAAGAUGUUCUCAUUAACGAAUAAAAAUCCUAAACAAGAUACGUUGAAUCCCAAUUACAUUACUACAAACACAUUGAUUUAUCUGCUGCACAGAAAGUGCAUAACCAUAGAUAUACAUGCGACAACAAAUAAAUAA